rnacentral:lncRNA from 1 species
GCGUCGUGGGCAUUGUUUCUGGCGCACAGCUCAUUGGGCAACUGCGUGAACAGCGAACCCUAGCCCCAAUCCAGAGCCCGCACGCCCCCUUGCUCCUCGCUCCUCCUCCCUUCCUCCCCCCUCUGUCCGCCGCCACACUCCCUCCUUCCCAACCCUCGUCGCCACGGGCUCCACGCUAGGAGCCUUGCUGCCUAUUGCUCCACCUCCACCACCUCGCCUCUUUUUCCUCCUCGUCGUCCCAUCGCUCGCGCGCAGGUCGCCGCCGUGGGGAACAGGAAAGUGGCGGGAUGGGGUGGCCAUGAGUGCUUCCCAUCCCGACGGCGCCUCCUCCUCACAGCAUUGUCACAGGCGCACUUUCUUCUCCUCCCUCCUCCCUCCCUCUUCACCACAUCCACCAUUCCCCUCCCUCAUCCAUGAUGGACGCCCCCACAUGAAUCUCCCAGGCAGGGGAAGAAGGCCAUGGCGAGUUAGAGGCUACAGGGGUGGGUGGAGCGGCUGAUGUGGAUGGGGUCAGUGCUUGAGGGAGGGUUACCGACUGGAGCAACAGAAGCAACAAGCUCGACGAGGUUCAGGUUUGCCUCUGCAUCCUCUCUCAGCCCCACUUGGUGACAUCGAUGAGGGUGUCGGCUGCAGGGGCGCCACUUUGUCUCAUCAAUUGUGUAGCCCCUAACAAUGCAAUUUGAUCUAAAGUGGUCAUUGAGGCCUUUGCAUUCUUUGAUUUGCAGAUUGGAUACAAAUGGUUCACCAAAGACAGAGUAUGAGCAAGAGUGAGUGGCUCGGCUGUGCAAUUUUUCUCCCGUCGAGGUAUGCCUCCGUCUCACUGGGACAAGGAUCAACUUGUCUGCCACAUAUUUGCUUUUCUUUGAUGGGCUGUGCAAUUUUUCUCCCGUCGAGGUAUGCCUCCGUCUCACUGGGACAAGGAUCGUCUGCCACAUAUUUGCUUGCUUUGAUGCACAUUAUUGUUCGAUUGGAGUGUGCUGACUAUACAGUCCUGAUUCUGUAAAAAGAGAAUAUGUUGUCCCAUCAGACAUGUUCAGUUUAGAUCCUGAUGAUGAUAAUUGUUAUGUUAUGUUAUGUCGGUUCCAUCAUUUCUUCAAGUGGUUCAGGUGUGAAUCUAAGGCCAUUUGCUGCCUCCUUAAUUUUUGGGUCUACCAUAUGCAGAGAUUCUCUCAUGGUUCUACUUCUAUCUUAUAGAAAGCAAAUAUUUUCUGUUGAUGAGCUUGUAGCUCUUUGCUACUGACCAUAUUUGUUCUCCAGGGCUGUAUGAAGUAAAAACUUUAUUUCUGCUCUAUGACUAUGUGUCGAAGAUGUUUUAUAGGUUGUAAGUUUGAUUUCUUUGUCUUGAACAUGGUUGGUUUAGUUUCUCAGAAUGUUGUUUGUCCAGUCUUUGUUAAUAGUGUGAUCACCACAGAACUAAAAGACAGUAUUUGGUACUGAAUUGUAGUUCGCUUUGUUAAUUUCUGCAACACCAUUUCAUAUUUACAUUUGAAUUGUACUUACUUAGUUUGUAAGGCCUUAUAGUUUCAAUGCUUUAUUUGCUUGUGGAGCUACGGCUCUGUUACAUUUUGAUGAUUAUAUAUUUUUGUAUAUGAAAUUUGUAGAACAAAAGUAAAAAAAUUGAAGGCCCAACUUACUUUGGUAUUAAGGUAAUUAACUCUAGGUUCCAUUGCAAGAGCUCAAGCAUGUUCUUACAUGAUUACUCCAACUUAGGAGUACUACCAAACAUUGGUUCAUUUUUCUGAUAGAUUCAGUUAUGGCAAUACUGAAUCAUUUUUGGUGUGAUUAGGGACAAGGAGCUGCAGUGUCAUGGAUUGGAGCGAAGGGGAGGUCCUGACGGCUGAAGAUGGUGUGGAUAGGAGGAGCUCAAAGCGGCAUUCCCAUGGAGGGAUGGCUGAUGUCAAGGCAAGUUUCUCUCAAUCUGUCUUCCCCCUUCUCUCUCGAUGUCUACCAGAAUAGAUUCACCUUUGUUCUGAUUUUACUUUAUAUAUCCCAGGUGCUAAAAUCUUAUGUGUCAAGGGCAUUGUGAUGGCACGAUCCAUGUCUCCUGCGAGUGCUCGACAUCCCGUAGCCCCAAAGAGGAGGGCUCCAAGGUACUUUUGAUUGAAUGACUUGAUUUGUUUCUCCUAUGUUGUGCUAGAGGACUAACUGAAACUAUGGCUCUGCUAUGUAUCAGGUUGGACAACAAGCUUCACUGGAUGAAAGCAUUUCCCUUCUAAAACAGAGUGCUGCUGACAUGAAUGCACAAGUUAGUCUUGAUACUAAGAUGGUCAUGGAAUUGCUUGAUCUAUGCUAGGUCAACAUGUCAGCCAACCACUUAAAAAUAAUCAAUUGCAUUUCUUCCUCUGAACUGUGAAACCUGACGAGUGAUGACACAUCAGCAAUGUUGCAUUCAAUAGCCUAUUUGAAGUUAACAAAAGCUUUAUUAGCUAGCUUAGCAAUAGAAGAUGUCAGUGAACACGAGUGCCCAGUCAAGAGCAAUGAAACGGUAGAUACUUUAGAGUGUAAUUUUAUAUAUGAAUAAAUAAAUGACACUUAAGUCGUUAAGCAAUUGUUGUUGAGGUAUUGUCUCACCCUUUAUCUGCUCUCUUUUAAACUGUGGAAUGCUAUGGGCUGGAGCUACAGGGGAGGAGGGAGGUAAGUUUGGAUGCAAUGAAUAUUGUUCGGAUAAAAAAUUGGGUGCAAACUAAGUACUGACGGUGGGACUUAUUCCAUUUGUUUAUCCUUUUGCCCUUUUAAUCAAGAACAACGUUCAGAGCUUACAUGGUUGCUGAAAUUUAAUUCUGUGAAAUAGAAAUAUUAAUACCAUGCAAUGAUCAGUGUAGAGUAGGAUAGUUAUUGAGUUCUUCCUUAGUUUUCAUUGAGAAAAGAUUGGAACUGAUUUGUUCUAAACUUCUAAUGCAAAGUAAAGAUGGUGUGCAUGAGAGAAGCUCGAAGUGGCAUUCCGAUGGAGGGAUGGCUGAUGGCAAGGCAAGUUUCUCUCAAUCCUUCUCCCCCCUUCACUCUCGAUGUCUAUCAGAAUAGAUUCACCUUUGUUCUGAUUUUUCUUUAUAUGUCCCAGGUGCUAAAAUCUUAUGUGUCAAGGGCAUUGUGAUGGCGCGAUCCAUGUCUCCUGUGACCGCUCGGCAUCCCGAAGCCCCAAAGAGGAGGGCUUCAAGGUCCUUUUGAUUGAAUGACUUGAUUUGUUUCUCCUAUGUUGUGCUAGAGGACUAACUAAAACUAUGGCUCUGCUAUGUAUCAGGCUGGACAACAAGCUUCACUGGAUGAAAGCAUUUCCCUUCUAAAACAGAGUGCUGCUGACAUGAAUGCACAAGUUAGUCCUGAUACUAAGAUUGUCGUGGAAUUGCUUGAUCUAUGCUAGGUCAAUAUGUCAGCCAACCACUUAAAAAUAAUCAAUUGCAUUUCUUCCUCUGCUGACAUGAAUGCACAAGUUAGUCCUGAUACUAAGAUUGUCGUGGAAUUGCUUGAUCUAUGCUAGGUCAAUAUGUCAGCCAACCACUUAAAAAUAAUCAAUUGCAUUUCUUCCUCUGAACUGUGAAACCUGAUGAGUGAUGACGCAUCAGCAAUUUAGCAAUAGAAGAUGUCAGUGAACACGAGUACUCAGUCAAGAGCAAUGAAGCCUAGAUACUUUAGAUUGUAAUUUUAUAUAAGAAUAACUAAAUGACACUUAAGUCGUUAAGCAAUUGUUGUUGAGGUAUUGUCUCACCCUUUAUCUGCUCUCUUUUAAACUGUGGAAUGCUAUGUGCUGAAGCUAUAGGGGAAGAGGGAUGUAAGCAUGGAUGCAAUGAAUAUUGUUCGGAUAAAAAAUUGUCUUCAGCCAUCUGUCUUGCUCUGGUUUUCCUGUAGUGUGGAGUUUCAACUCUCUAUCUGGUCUGUGUGUUAUUGAUUCAGCUGCCUCACCAUUGCAGGAAAUUACUGUGUGCCUUAGAUUGGGAUGCUGAACCAGAUGAAAAAUGUCACUGCAGCUUUGAGUGCAGUCAUAGGUUAAAUGGAAGUAUUGGAUGGAGCAAUUCAGUGGGGCUGCUGCAGGAGGAUACAUAGUAACAAUGAUGGAAAGAACCUUCCCCACUCGCUCCUGAACCUUAUAAUGUGCCUUUGUGUGUAUAUUUAAUCAUUCACGGAAACCUGAUUUCUAUUUUAUGGUCUGAUUAGACAGGACUGAUAAUCGCUGAGCCAAAUAACAUGUGCAUUUACAACAACAACAACAACAACAACAAAGCCUUUAGUCCCAAGCAAGUUGGGGUAGGCUAGAGGUGAAACCCAUAAGAUCUCGCAACCAACUCAUGGCUCUGGCACAUGGAUAGCAAGCUUCCACGCACCCCUGUCCACAGCUAGCUCUUUGUCGAUACUCUAAUCCUUCAGGUCUCUCUUAACGGACUCCUCCCAUGUCAAAAUCGGUC